rnacentral:rRNA from 1 species
GACGAACGCUGGCGGCGUGCUUAACACAUGCAAGUCGAACGGAAAGGCCCUGCUUUUGUGGGGUGCUCGAGUGGCGAACGGGUGAGUAACACGUGAGUAACCUGCCCUUGACUUUGGGAUAACUUCAGGAAACUGGGGCUAAUACCGGAUAGGAGCUCCUGCUGCAUGGUGGGGGUUGGAAAGUUUCGGCGGUUGGGGAUGGACUCGCGGCUUAUCAGCUUGUUGGUGGGGUAGUGGCUUACCAAGGCUUUGACGGGUAGCCGGCCUGAGAGGGUGACCGGCCACAUUGGGACGGAGAUACGGCCCAGACUCCUACGGGAGGCAGCAGUGGGGAAUAUUGCACAAUGGGCGGAAGCCUGAUGCAGCAACGCCGCGUGCUGGAUGACGGCCUUCGGGUUGUAAACCGCUUUCGCCUGUGACGAAGCGUGAGUGACGGUAAUGGGUAAAGAAGCACCGGCUAACUACGUG